UACAGAGGGUGCGAACGUUGUUCGGAAUUACUGGGCAUAAAGCGCACGUAGGCGGCACCGUAAGUGUGGAGUGAAAUCCCACGGCUUACCCGUGGAACUGCUUGGCAGACUGCGGUGCUAGAGGAUGGUAGGGGAGAGCGGAACUCCCGGUGGAGCGGUGAAAUGCGUAGAUAUCGAGAGGAACACCUGCGGCGAAGGCGGGUUGCUGGGCUGACACUGACGCUGAAGUGCGAAAGCUAGGGGAGCGAACGGG
rnacentral:rRNA from 1 species